AUUGAACGCUGGCGGCAGGCCUAACACAUGCAAGUCGAGCGGAUGAAGGGAGCUUGCUCCUGGAUUCAGCGGCGGACGGGUGAGUAAUGCCUAGGAAUCUGCCUGGCAGUGGGGGAUAACGUCCGGAAACGGGCGCUAAUACCGCAUACGUCCUGAGGGAGAAAGUGGGGGAUCUUCGGACCUCACGCUAUCAGAUGAGCCUAGGUCGGAUUAGCUAGUUGGUGGGGUAAAGGCCUACCAAGGCGACGAUCCGUAACUGGUCUGAGAGGAUGAUCAGUCACACUGGAACUGAGACACGGUCCAGACUCCUACGGGAGGCAGCAGUGGGGAAUAUUGGACAAUGGGCGAAAGCCUGAUCCAGCCAUGCCGCGUGUGUGAAGAAGGUUUUCGGAUUGUAAAGCACUUUAAGUUGGGAGGAAGGGCAGUAAGUUAAUACCUUGCUGUUUUGACGUUACCAACAGAAUAAGCACCGGCUAACUUCGUG
rnacentral:rRNA from 1 species